rfam:Pedobacter glucosidilyticus strain DD6b PBAC_contig000073, whole genome shotgun sequence.
GAGAUCUCUUAGAUUACGAGCUAAUCAUAAAGAGAAGUCAGCAGAGGUCAUAGUACUUGAGGCAACGAGGUAUCAACAAACGAUACAAGGUCUCACAAACAAGGAAGGAC